rnacentral:rRNA from 1 species
UACGUAGGGGGCGAGCGUUGUCCGGAGUUACUGGGCGUAAAGGGCAUGCAGGCGGUCAGACGCGUUUUUGUGUGACAGCGGAGGGCUUCACUCUCCGAGCAUACGAAAGACGGUGUGACUUGAGGGCUCGAGAGGGACACGGAAUUCCGGGUGGAGUGGUGAAAUGCGCAGAUAUCGGGAGGAACACCAAUGGCGAAGGCAGGCUCGCUGGGACGGUGACUGACGCUGAGGCACGAAGGCCAGGGGAGCAAACGGG